GUAAUAUAAGAACCGUCUCUUAACUUUUAACUAAAAAAAUAUUAAGAACCGACUCUUAAAUAAGAAUUUUAAGAGAAGGUUCUUAAAUUUUUUUUAGUUAAAGUUAAGAAACGGUUCUUAUAUUAC
rnacentral:pre_miRNA from 1 species